CGCCUUCAAUUUAUGCAACACCGUGGACGAGCGCAAAAUAUCACGAGCAAACGAACGGUCGUUCGACGCUUCAAAAGAAGGGAGAAUCGAAAGAAGAACGGCGCGAUCGGCACUCGAAGAGGAUUUCCUUGAAGAAGAAGGUGUACUAUAUGAAGCAGGAAUGGGCGAUUAAUGAUCACCCAGACGUGAGAUUUCAUGUACACCGUUUGGGCACCUAAAAAAAACGGACCUGCACUUGAAGGAGUGCCACGACGGCAAUUUUGAAUAUUUCGACUUGAAAAUUUUUUUACAAAUACUUGAAUAUAUAAUAAAGAUGACGGUUUAAUUUAA